CUCUCUCUCAUGGUUCAGAGACACACACUGCAACACACUUUACUCUUAACCACACACAGGUGUAGCCACUCAUUCAUUACCCGCUCGUUCUCUGUGACACGUCUUCCCAUUUACAGCCAGCACUUGACCACAACUACACUUCCACAGUUGCAACCAUACGGGUCACGGGGGAACCUGGAGUCUAUCCCAGGGAGCAUCGGGCACGAGGCGGGGUACACCCUGGACAGGGUGUCAGUCCAUCGCAGGGCACAAUCACAUAUUAUGGACACUUUGGACAUGCCAAUCAGCCUACCAUGCAUGUCUUUGGACUGGAGGAGGAAACCGGAGUACCCGGAGGAAACCCCCACAGCACGGGGAGAACAUGCAAACUCCACACACACAGGGCCACGGUGGGAAUCGAACCCCCGACCCUGGAGGUGUGAGGCGAACGUGCUGACCACUAAGACACCUAUGUGCGAGAGAUUUAAUGUAAAGUCUUCACGUGAGAAACGC
ensembl:lncRNA